rnacentral:tRNA from 2 species
UAGGAAAUGGUGUAAUGGAAGCACCUGGAGUUUUGAAUUCUUGAGUAAGGGUCCAAAUCCCUUUUUCCUAA